AUUGAACGCUGGCGGCAGGCCUAACACAUGCCAGUCGAACGAGUGGCGGACGGGUGAGUAAUGUCUGGGACAGUGCCUGAUGGGGGGGGAUCAAUAUUGGAAACGGUAGAUACCACCGCAUACCAUCAGAUGUGCCCAGAUGUGAUUUGCUAGUUGGUGGGGUAACGGCUCACAAAGGCGACGACCCCUAGAGGGUCUGAGAGGAUGACCGGCGACACGGGAACUGAGACACGGUCCAGACUCCUACGGGAGGCAGCUGUGGUGAAUAUUGCACAAUGGGCGCAAGCCUGAUGCAGCCAUGACGCGUGUAUGAAGAAGGUCUUCGGGUUGUAAAGUACUUUCAGCUGGGAGGCGUUACCCGCAGAAGAAGCACCUGCUAACUCCGUGCCAGCAGCCGCGGUAAUUC
rnacentral:rRNA from 1 species